rnacentral:rRNA from 1 species
UGAGUAAUGUCUGGGAAACUGCCUGAUGGAGGGGGAUAACUACUGGAAACGGUAGCUAAUACCGCAUAACGUCGCAAGACCAAAGAGGGGGACCUUCGGGCCUCUUGCCAUCAGAUGUGCCCAGAUGGGAUUAGCUAGUAGGGGGGGAAUGGCUCACUAGGCGACGAUCCCUAGCUGGUCUGAGAGGAUGACCAGCCACCCUAGCCACACUGGAACUGGAGAACACGGGUCCAAAAACUCUCUACGGGGGAGGCAGCAGUGGGGAAUAUUGCACAAUGGGCGCAAGCCUGAUGCAGCCAUGCCGCGUGUGUGAAGAAGGCCUUCGGGUUGUAAAGCACUUUCAGCGAGGAGGAAGGUGGUGAGCUUAAUACGCUCAUCAAUUGACGUUACUCGCAGAAGAAGCACCGGCUAACUCCGUGCCAGCAGCCGCGGUAAUACAGAGGGUGCAAGCGUUAAUCGGAAUUACUGGGCGUAAAGCGCACGCAGGCGGUUUGUUAAGUCAGAUGUGAAAUCCCCGGG